rnacentral:tRNA from 1 species
GCCGGGGUCGCGUAGCGGCAAUCGCACCUGUCUGUAAAACAGGCGUCCGAAAGGGCUUCGGGGGUUCGAGUCCCUCUCCCGGCACCA